GAUGAACGCUGGCGGCGUGCCUAAUACAUGCAAGUCGAACGAGGUCUUCGGACCUAGUGGCGAACGGGUGAGUAACACGUUGGUACCUACCUCGAAGUGGGGAAUAACUGCCCGAAAGGGUGGCUAAUACCGCAUAAUACCGCAAGGUUAAAGCAGUAAUGCGCUUCGGGAGGGGCCUGCGUCCCAUUAGCUAGUUGGUAGGGUAAUGGCCUACCAAGGCGACGAUGGGUAGCUGGAUCGAGAGGUUGACCAGCCACACUGGGACUGAGAUACGGCCCAGACUCCUACGGGAGGCAGCAGUAAGGAAUCUUCCACAAUGGACGAAAGUCUGAUGGAGCAACGCCGCGUGCAGGAUGACGGCCUUCGGGUCGUAAACUGCUUUUAUACGGGAAGAUUAUGACGGUACCGUAUGAAUAAGGACCGGCUAACUACGUGCCAGCCGCCGCCGUAA
rnacentral:rRNA from 1 species